rnacentral:piRNA from 1 species
UAAAACCAGUGUACCUUACGUUGGGUGUC